GUGCUCACUUCGGCAGCACAUAUACUAAAACUGGAACGAUACAGAGAAGAUUAGCAUGGCCCCUGCACAAGGAUGACACGCAAAUUCGUGAAGCGUUCCAUAUAAAA
rnacentral:snRNA from 1 species